rfam:Brassica oleracea var. oleracea cultivar TO1000 chromosome C8, whole genome shotgun sequence
GGAAGUUAAGAAACUGUUUCUUAACUUUUAACUAAAAAAACUAAGAACCGGUUCUUAAAUAAGGACUUUAAGAACCGGUUCUUACCUUUUUUAGUUAAAAGUUAAGAAACAAUAUCUUAAUUUCC